CCUGAAUGCGAGCAGAAAUGAGCUGGGUGUGGAUGACGACACACUGCAGCAAUGGGCUGAAGGUGAGUCUCAAUAUAAUGCACUCGUGUAUAACAACAGGACCCACCAUGGCCUCAUUAAAGAACUUAGAGUUAAGAUCUUUCUGACAGUGUCAACAAACAAUGAAAAAUAAGCUUGUAAAAGCAGAAUUGAUGGCAGAGUUGUUGCGUUUGAUCAAAUUGGAUUGGACCUGGGUUGAAGUGAUGUCGUACUAGUUGGUUUUAUAAAGCUGAACACCAACAUACUUGUUAUCUCAUGAUAAUGCAGCACAUGAAGGCUCCAGAUGUCUUAUAAUGAAUAUCAUCAAGUCAGUGAUUACAGAGUCCACUGUAGUUUGGUGACUGUUACUCAUCCUGUGUUCUGAUUAAUAUUCCUCUCACUUAGAAACGGAUCAAACUGAUGGCAGCCUUGGAGCGUUGCAGGCACGAGUAGAGGAGCUUGUCGUCAUCAUCAGAGUGCGAACACAAAGUCUUUACAGACAAAAUGGUGUCACAGUUUCUUUGAAACGGACCGUUUGAUGCUCAGUUUGUACAGCUUGUACAGCUACUUUGUAAACAGAAUAAAAUCAGAUCCAGGUUUGUUUAAGCUGGAUGUGAUUUGUUCUAGCAAACGAAUUGAUGAGUGUAGAUUAAAAUGUAAAUAUAUGCAUUAUGUGAAGGUGUUCCUUUUUAUGAUUAUUUACAGAUAGCAACAAGAGGCGACACAGAAUUCACAAGGUCAUCUUAGAUGAGAAGAAACGCUUGGCGGCUGCUGUUGACGACUACAACAAGGAAACAAGCAACAAAGCAAAUCGUAUCCAGUGAUGCCCUCAUGCAGAGCGACGUUUGGCCCUGGCAGAGCACAAGUGAACCUGCUGCUGACCUCCGGACAAAGAGAAAGGUCUUUGAGAAGGUGAUGGCUGUGAGGCGCCUGAGAGAGGAGGAGAUGAUCCUUUGCAGGGAGAUGCAGCAUCACUGGACAGUGUUGCAAAUGCGAUCUGUGGUGUUGGGGACAAUCUCCUCAGACUCCUCCCUUGUUGGCAUGUCGGAGGAUGCACAGAAAGGACUCCAUAGCCUGGUUUAAAAACAAAGUGAACUGAAAGCUGAAACGCUCAAAGUAAAGGACGUGUACAAGAGAAUCCUCAGCCACCAACCACUCCUGGAAAUGGACUCGGAGGAGGAGGAGGACGUUUCAGACGAUGAGAGUGAUUUGAGCACUUCUGAUGAAGACUGAUUGUGUCAUCAUUGAUGUUAUGUUUGCUAGAAUAA